rnacentral:rRNA from 1 species
CACUCCUACGGGAGGCAGCAGUGGGGAAUAUUGGACAAUGGGCGCAAGCCUGAUCCAGCCAUGCCGCGUGAGUGAUGAAGGCCCUAGGGUUGUAAAGCUCUUUCACCGGUGAAGAUAAUGACGGUAACCGGAGAAGAAGCCCCGGCUAACUUCGUGCCAGCAGCCGCGGUAAUACGAAGGGGGCUAGCGUUGUUCGGAUUUACUGGGCGUAAAGCGCACGUAGGCGGACUAUUAAGUCAGGGGUGAAAUCCCGGGGCUCAACCCCGGAACUGCCUUUGAUACUGGUAGUCUUGAGUGCGAGAGAGGUGAGUGGAAUUCCGAGUGUAGAGGUGAAAUUCGUAGAUAUUCGGAGGAACACCAGUGGCGAAGGCGGCUCACUGGCUCGAUACUGACGCUGAGGUGCGAAAGCGUGGGGAGCAAACAGGAUUAGAAACCCGUGUAGUCCC